rnacentral:rRNA from 1 species
GUCCAUGCCGUAAACGUUGGGAACUAGGUGUGGGUCUCAUUCCACGAGAUCCGUGCCGCAGCUAACGCAUUAAGUUCCCCGCCUGGGGAGUACGGCCGCAAGGCUAAAACUCAAAGGAAUUGACGGGGGCCCGCACAAGCGGCGGAGCAUGCGGAUUAAUUCGAUGCAACGCGAAGAACCUUACCAAGGCUUGACAUACACCGGAAACGUCCAGAGAUGGGCGCCCCCGCAAGGUCGGUGUACAGGUGGUGCAUGGUUGUCGU